GUUCAUACAAUGGUAUAGGUAUCUCGUCCCUAUAUAACGACACACACCAAAGCUGGUUGUGUACACAUGGUAUUACUGUCAUAUAAGAUGUCUUACUUAUCCAUGCUAGCUUUUUUUCUUACAGUAAUCAGUCUCAACAAUAUUACAGGAAAUCCAAAGCAUCAAAUACAUGCGCAACCCAAUAAAGGAGUGAUCGAUUACCAGCCACCCCCUAUUGAUUCAGAAACACCUGUUGGUGAUCUCAAUCCCAGUAUCGGACUGAUCGAUUACCAGCCACCCCCUAUUGAUCCAGAAACACCUGUUGGUGAUCUCAAUCCCAGUAUCGGACUGAUCGAUUACCAGCCACCCCCUGUUGAUCCAGAAACACCUGUUGGUGAUCUCAAUCCCAGUCCACCACACUUUCAUUUUUAUCGACAAUAUCACCAUAGAUCCGAAGGACUUAAUAGGCCUAGAAUUGGCGGCUUGGAAGAUAUACCACACAUAAGACCUAGAAGGCCAGUUCGACCGCCAGCCUAAGAUGUACUCCAAUCCUGCUAAUUAAUGUAGCAGCACUAUCAGCUUAUGGUUUUCUCAUGUUGUCAAGGUUUCAUUUGUUGUAGGCUUAAUUAAGUAGUCCCGUUUGUAUAUUUGGUUUGCGGGUGCUUAUAGUCUCUUUUUAGUAAAAAUUGACUUUGCUCAUAAAAUAAAUCACCCAGCAGCAAAUUAAAUAAAAGGCAGUGGCAGUAUGAACCUUUGAAAUAUUUUACACUUGUUUGUAUAUCCUUAAUAUACGUUUGAAGCUGUAUACGUAGAUUUCGAAUUUAUAUAUGGGGAGUUUUUUCUUGACAAAUUAUAUAUGGGGUGUUUGUUUAACUUAUAUUUCCCCUAGCUUC
rnacentral:lncRNA from 1 species